GACUCCUCGCGAGACGGCCGGCGCGGCGCGACGUUUAAUUAAACGGACCGAGUGAUUUGCCCGCGGGACUCGGCCCGAACAAUACGCCGCCUAUUUGCUCGCACAAGUGUUCGAGGUCGUUCAACAUCUUUGUCUUUAAGGCUUGAGGCUAUCGCGGAGGAAAAACUACCAUGUAGGAUGAUGUUUUAUAGUGUUUCACGCGAUACCGCUGUCGGUGGUCUUAUCUCUGCAACGAACUUCGAAGCAAGAGAAUUUGAUUUCGCGGCGAACGUAACACUUUAUGUACCAGCUGUUUUUUAAUGGCCCUUUCAAACUCUUCCGUUAUGAUUUUCUCUACAGCUACCGCAAUUAGAACAUCUAUGUCCUUCGUAAUUUCCUUUGUAUUUUCUCUUGUGUUUAAACACCGAUAACAGAAGAAUAGAAUUUCGAUUCCGAUCGACUCGACAUUGGAAGGCAAGGAGGCGAAGGUCGAAGAUCAACGGACGGGAUUUUCUUUGCAAGAGACGGCGCACAUCGAUCAAGGAAAACAUCACCGUCACCGACACGCCACACCGUCACCGUCACCGUCACCGAUCCGCGCAGACGUUCGAGCAGAUUUUCUAUUUUAACGCUUCUUAACCGACCGAUAACGAUGUCCACGUCAGGUUUUUAGACAGACGUUUCGUGGACAGAUUCCACGGCAUACGAAUAAUCCGGACGAGCAAAAUGUGCGCGUGAUAUCAACGCCAACGGAUGGCACCUGUGAUAAGUAGGCAACAACGAUCGCUGCGUGGCGCUUUCAUUUGCACGUUAAUUAAAAAUAUAUAUGUUAUUUGCUGUCU